rnacentral:lncRNA from 1 species
GUCAGACAACAUUUCAUUUUGAAAGAGUAAAAUUUGUUUUGUUACAGAAACGUAUAACGUUUUGAAAAGAAAAAAAUAUUUUACAUAUAGUAAAUACACUCACUAAACUCCAAGCAUGACUCUGGAGCAGCAGAGUUCAUCCGAAGUAAAGCAAAAGCCAGAAUUAACGCUUCAGCAAAAGAUAACAUUCUUCUUUAUUGGCAUUUCGUCAGCUUUCACCGUUUACGCUUUGAUACGCUUCUCAAACGGUUUACUUUUUGAGUCGAAGCCACACGCCAUCCAACAUGGCUCCGCGCACCUAAGCGAAGACUUUCUACGAUUGUAAUAUUUUGUAGCAACUCUGAGUUUAUUUUAUAUACAAACUUUUCUUAGUAAUGCUUGAUUUGGAAAGAAGCUCAGUACGCAGUAACAGGCGUGAUGUAAUCUUCCAAUUCUUAGUUCGAGCUAAUAAUUGUAUUUUUGGAUUUGCAUUAACGGGCUUAAUAGCAGUGAGCCUUAUUAUAAUUGCCUUGUGGCUAAUACGAUUUAUGGAUACCUUGUUUGGUGUGUACAAAAGAAAUAAUGAAAAUCCUGAAGCUUCUGCCAUGAACAAUAAUAAAAUUGUUAUCAAAUAA